UUUUAAUUAGGAUUUUAUUGUAGAUAAAGGAAGUAAAUUUCCUCUGUUGACAAAAAAUGGUUGAGGAGUCUGAAAGUUUGACUGAAGAUUAAGGAUAUCAAAUGAAGAUUAUAAUUGAAAAAAGAGCACUUUGAAGUACUAGGAGAAUUUGAAAACAUCUUGGUGAAAUAGUCUGACUGAUUAUGACAGAACAUCAAAAGAAAUGACGAAAAAUUACACAUCUUAUCAAAAUAGUACUACUAGAAACUAAAAGCUACUUGCAAUUUUCACUGGUUUUGAGAUCAGUAACAGUCUGACAAGGAAAGAAUUUAAUGAACAUGAUUAUGAUGCCUCUUGAUAAAUAUAAAAACAUAUUGACUGUAAAAUAAUUACCAGUUACCAAUUAUAUCUGUUGUUUACAAAAUUUGUUAUUUGGAAAUAUCUGUUGAAUGUUUUGAAAUUAAAAUGUGUUAACUUAAAUGA